rnacentral:sRNA from 1 species
AUAUAUUUUAAAAUAUAAAAAAUGUUAAAAUUUAAAGAUGUGUAUAACAUAUUGAACCUAGAACACCGCUUAAGGACCUUAUAUUAUGGACGGGAUGUUGUAUUCAUUUAGUUUACACAUAUUUAAAAUUUAACACUUAAAAACAAA